AAUUUCAAAAAACGCUCUCUCCCUCUCUCUCUUCCAUCAGAUCUUUCUCUAGGACUCCAUGGCUCAAUCUCCAUGGCUAUAGCUAGCAGCCACCGCGUUCCGCUCCAAUUCCGAUGGUGGUUCCGCUCGAAGGAGAGACCCACUCUUGGGAUAAAAUAUUAGCCUUUGCUGCCCAAAAGUUCAAUAUAUCUUGCCAGAAAAUGUUUUGAAGCAUUCCAUGAUUUAUAUUGUUUUUGUGAGUUAAAAGAUAGAAAACUUGUAUUGAUAUGUUGAAAGAAAGUAAACAAAAAAAAAAAAAAAACUGGUCUGUAUUUGUAAGACAACCAGACGAAACAGAGAAACACAACUCAGGAAAGAGCAUAGCAGCUAAGACACAUUACAUGACAGUGCUGCAUAAAGAAAAGCUUGACAUAAAAACUGCUAAGAAUAUGAAGUGUUGGUACUCUGCCAGGAAAAUAGUAGCUCUAUCAAAGAUGGUCUUCGGUUCUAACUGAAUUUUUUCAAAGUAGAACCUGUUACAAGCAUUCCAUGAUGUAUUGAAGCCAUAUCUUGUUGUCAAUAGGCUAAUUUUCAAUAUCAUUGGAACAUCGAAUGUAUUUUCUAAUUUUGACUCUUAAGGUAGUUUCAUUGUUCAUUUACAAAAACUUUUACAAGGAUUUAGAGUACAAACCAAGAAGAAUGUAAUAAAAUUUAGUUUUUAUUU